AGAGUUUGAUCCUGGCUCAGGAUGAACGCUGGCGGCGUGCUUAACACAUGCAAGUCACGGGGGCCAGCAAUGGCAACCGGCGAACGGGUGCGUAACACGUGAGCAACCUACCGAAAUGAGGGGGAUAGCCGUCCCAACGGACGGGUAAUACCGCAUACGCUCUUGUCCAGGCAUUUGGACUUGAGGAAACCUCCGGGGCAUUUCGAGGGGCUCGCGGCCUAUCAGCUAGUUGGUGAGGUAACGGCUCACCAAGGCGACGACGGGUAGCUGGUCUGAGAGGAUGGCCAGCCACAUUGGGACUGAGAUACGGCCCAGACUCCUACGGGAGGCAGCCUAGGGGAAUCUUGCGCAAUGGCCUAACGGCUGACGCAGCGACGCCGCGUGAGGGAUGACGCUCUUCGGAGUGUAAACCUCUUUUGCCUGAGACGAAUUGUCAGCUUUAGCUGAUUUGACUGUAUCGGGUGAAUAAGCACCGGCUAACUCCGUGCCAGCAGCCGCGGUAAUACGGGGGGUGCGAGUGUUGUCCGGAAUCACUGGGCGUAAAGGGCGCGUAGGUGGCCUGAUAAGGGUGUGGUGAAAGUCCGGGGCUCAACCCCGGAUCGGCCGUGCCGACUGUUAGGCUAGAGUACUGUAGGGGCAGGCGGAAUUCCGGGUGUAGCGGUGGAAUGCGUAGAGAUCCGGAGGAAGACCGGUGGCGAAGGCGGCCUGCUGGGCAGUUACUGACACUGAGGCGCGACAGCGUGGGGAGCAAACAGGAUUAGAUACCCUGGUAGUCCACGCCGUAAACGAUGGGUACUAGGUGCCUGGGGGAGCGACCCCUUGGGUGCCGGCGCUAACGCAGGAAGUACCCCGCCUGGGGAGUACGGCCGCAAGGCUGAAACUUAAAGGAAUUGACGG
rnacentral:rRNA from 1 species